AUUUUUCAGGGAUUUUUUUUCUGGGGUGUUCCAGCAUUAUUUGGGAUUUAUUUGGGGGUUUUUCUUGGGCUGUUCUGGCUUUAUUUGGGAUUUAUUUGGGGAUUUUUCUCGGGCUGUUCUGGCGUUAUUUGGGAUUUAUUUUGGGGGGUUUUUUGCAGUUUUCUCUGGGCUGUUCUGGCGUUAUUUGGGAUUUAUUUGGGGAUUUUUCUCGGGCUGUUCUGGCGUUAUUUGGGAUUUAUUUUGGGUUUUUUUUUUGCAGUUUUCUCUGGGCUGUUCUGGCAUUAUUUGGGAUUUAUUUGGGGAUUUUUCUUGGGCUGUUAUUUGGGGAUUUUUCUUGGGCUGUUCUGGCGUUAUUUGGGAUUUAUUUGGGGAUUUUUCUUGGGCUGUUAUUUGGGAUUUAUUUGGGGAUUUUUCUCGGGCUGUUCUGGCGUUAUUUGGGAUUUAUUUUGGGGUUUUUUUGGGAAUUUUUUUCUGGGGUGUUCCAGUGCUUUUUAGGAUUUAUUUUGAGAUUUCUUUUGGGCUGUUCAGGUGUUAUUUGGGAUUUAUUUUGGGGAGGUUUUUUGGGGUGUUAUAGAGAUUUUCGGGAUGUACUUUGGGAUUCCUUUGGGGAUUUUUUUCUGGGGAUAUUCUGGUGCUUUUUGGGAUGUAUUUUGUGGGGAUUUUUUUGGGGAUAUUCCGGUGCUUUUUGGGAUUUAUGUUGGGAUUUCUUCUGGGCUAUUCUGGUGCUUUUGGGGAUUUAUUUGGGGAUUUUUCUCUGGGCUGUUCUGGCGUUAUUUGGGAUUUAUUUUGGGGGGUUUUUGCAGUUUUCUCUGGGCUGUUCUGGCGUUAUUUGGGAUUUAUUUUGGGGGUUUUUUUGCCGUUUCUCUGGGCUGUUCCGGCGUUAUUUGGGAUUUAUUUGGGGAUUUUUCUUGGGCUGUUAUUUGGGAUUUAUUUGG
rnacentral:lncRNA from 1 species